UGGUAGUAAAUGUUUUGUUUUUUCCAGUACCAUGUAAGUAAAAUAAUUUAAUGGUAAAGUAAAUGAACAUUAUUUUCUGUUAAGACAAAUGGUUACAUAACACCCAAUGUUUCCUAAGCUUUAAUAUGAAGAUGAAAACACUGUGUCUAAGCCUUCAAAAGCAAUGCAGUUCUGUAUAAUGUGAUGCAACAUAAAAAUGUCCACAUGUCAAUGAGUAGCCAUUUUGAGUAGUCAUAUUUCACAACGAUGUCAAUUCUGUCUUCCGUAGUUGUGAGGAAGAAGUAAAAACCUAAAUGUAGAGUCACAUUGCAGAGUAUUUAAUAAAGAAAUGAGAACUAAUAUGAAUCUAAAGUUAAACAGAGUCCAAAGAGUGAGAGAAAAAAAAGACAAGGAACCAGGAUAAAUGGAGAACAUGCAGAAUAACUCAAAGCAGCACAUGAGGAAAAUGAACUGACACUUGCACAAAGAGGAACAGAGGGUUAUAUAAUAUGUACAAACAGAGGGCUGACUUUACUAAUAUAAGAUAGCUUUUGUCAGUCCCAUAGUUGGGAAAUUCACAGGGCACAUAGGCAGGGAACACACAUGAAGUAAUAUUUAACACUAUUAAUAAUUGUGUUAGUAAUUAACCCAAAAAAACAAACAAACAAGAAAACAAAUUUAAACAAAAUAGCACACACAAAAACUGGACUUUUACAGAAUACAAAUGUGUGAUA